GUUCUUAAUUAUCCUGAAUCACAAUGAAGAGUAGAGAUAAUCCAAAAUAGAUUUUUUAAUCAUUCACACUUAGUUUGGGGUGUUCUAUGUUUGUUAGGAAUUAAACUGGUUCUAACCAAUUACUGAAGCUGGUACUGGGAGGAUUCAACUAGAGAGGAUUCAAAAAGCUGCCUUUUUCUCUUUGCCUCUGUGCCUUACUCAUUCCUCUCCUUUUCCUCACUUCACACUAGGGCUGGGUACCAUCACACUGCAGUAUAAUUCCAAAUGCAUUUGCAAGCUAACUUCCCCGGAGUCUGAUUGUGCUUUCCUUUUGGCCUUUACCUUCAUUGGAGGUGAUUGAGGUAGUCUGAUUUUUUAGCUAAGUCUAAACCUAAGACUAUUAUUUGUCUACCAGCUAGGCUUCAGGCUGCAUUCCCUGUGAGUCCUUAGAUAAGGCCUGUGAAAAACUGAAAGCAGCAUCUCCUAUUUCAAUAAGAAUGAAAUGAUUGGUUUGGAGUAUAAAGAGAUUGAUACCUUGUAUGAUGUCAUAAACUGUGAAGCCACUUGCUUUUAAAAAAAAAGAAAAAGAGCCCCCUCUUUUCCUUUCUCCGCGAUCGUGGUGUGAUCUUGCCUCCACUUCUCGCCAUGUCUUCUCACAAGACUUUCAGGAUUAAGCGAUUCCUGGCCAAGAAACAAAAGCAAAAUCGUCCCAUUCCCCAGUGGAUUCGGAUGAAAACUGGAAAUAAAAUAAGGUACAACUCCAACAGGAGACAUUGGAGAAGAACCAAGCUGGGUCUAUAAGGAAUUGCACAUGAGAUGGCACAUAUAUUUGUGCUGUCUGAAGGUCACGAUCACAUUACCAUAUCAAACUGAAAAUGUCACCACUCUCUGGAGAGUUCGACGUAUUUUCCUCUCUGAAUCUAUUAUGAAUGCGUUGGUUGGCUGGGUUCAGUAAUAAAUAUGUGAGGCCUUUCAUUUCAAA